CCAUGAACCGCGCAUGUCUGUGCGCUGUUAUAGAUGAAUCAUUAAUAAACAAAUAUUUCACUGGAUGAACAUCGGCCGAAAUGGUUGGGAUUUAUAUUUGCAUAAUUGCCGUGGUUAUACUUGCUCGCGAUGCUCUGUGUUUAAGUUGUAACAAAGCCCAAGCGAACACAGUCGAUGGGGCCGAAGGUUUCUCAGUUCUGUACAUUGCUGGCCUACCGAUAAUAAUCUUCUUGGCGUCAAUUUUGUACUUACGCUACGGUAGAGGGACAUGGCGAAACAUGAACAACCCACAUGCAGGGAGCGAUCCCGCAAAUCCACAGCCAGGGAGCGGUCCCGCUCAUCAACAGCCAGGGUGCGGUCCCGCAAAUCCACCGCUAGGGAGCAGUUGCGAAAACUCGUCGGACAAUCCCGGCAGCAUCCGAAUAACCAAUUAAAAACAACCACACAAAUAUGGUUGUUCAAAAGUGUAAAAUUAAAAGGAACUUUAGAUAUUUAAGACUUUAAUAAUGGGUUCAUUCCACCUUCACGUUGGUAUAUUAAUACACAGUACUUUUGGUGUAUAUUAUAUCCUGCGUAUACUUGUACAAGUGUUAAAUUUAAAAAUAGCAAUUCCAAAAUGUUAAUCUACCGAUAAGCAGAAGAGAUCACAAUCACAAGAAUUGAGUUUGUAGUAUUGUAUGUCGUUAUUAUGUUACAAAUAAGUUGUAUUCAAAAUAAACAAACCAAUAUAUAUAUAAACAUUAUAUAAACAGUAAUACACGAUUUGUAACCACUGAUGAAUACUUUUCAUUUUCAAUGUGUGACAGCUUUCCGUUAAUUUAGUAUUAUUCUAACAUGGUGUUUAUUUAUUAAACGGUGACGUGACUUGAUAUUUGAAUAAUACAAAGAUUUUUAUACUUUGUUUGAAUGUAUAUUAAAAAAACACUCUUUCAAUUUGAUUUAUUAGUUGUAGCUUAAACGAUUGUUUUACUUUAGUUUCAAUAAUCAACUGUUACUUUUUGCUGUGUCAUUUUGUAUUUUUGUAAAUAUAGUUCAGUAUUUCUUGUCUUGAAAGACAAUUUCGUUCAAGUUUUACAAUAUUUAAAAAAGGCAAUUUGACAUGUUCUCAAAUAUUUCUCCCUUUUUGUUGUCUUCGUCAAGAUUUGUUCUUAAACCAUUCAUUAUGUUACUUUUUGCGGUGAAUAAUGUUUUUGUGUGUUUUUAAUUCAUUUGAAGUGUCAUAUAUGUUUCAAUGUUGAUUCAAAUCGGAUUUGAAACCUUUGAUGAGUUACGUGAAUAACAAUUGAGUAUGUGUUAUAUCCCAUUGAUUUCUAGUAAUUAAGACAAACAAUAUAAUAAAAUGGAAGUGCAUGACGAGGAGGAAUUCGUGAAUUUAGAUAAUAUAUCGCUUUUAGUGCCAAAGAAAUGCUUUCACUUAUUGCACAAAAUAGGCGGACAUUAUGGCAGACAGAAAUUCCUAUAAUCUUACAAAAUCCAAGCAAAUGAAAACUCGACACACCCGAUAAGAUCCCGUUAUAUUAAUUGAUUUUCUUUACGUCCAUCCCAACCUCUAACACCACGCUGAUUGAUAUUUUUAGAGCUGAUUGAUUGAUUGUAUCAUUUUAUGUAUAAACCGGUUAAGACUUAAAGGCAUCACUCCACUAAAUGAUAGAUGAAGAAAACUGUAGUAAUGACUCUCCGAAGAUUCCUUAGCAAAAUUAAAGUUUGUGUGUAUACAAACGACCUCCAUGUUAGUCGAAUUUCAAAUGAUGUUUCGUUCUACAUAUGUUGAUGCCACCUGAAUUAUGUUAUAUAUAUAUAAAUAUAUAUAUAUAUAUAUAUAUAUAUAUAUAUAUAUAUAUAUAUAUAUAUAUAUAUAUAUAUAUAUAUAUAUAUAUAUAUAUAUAUAUAUUAUAAAAUCAAGAAAUAAUAUUUAAUAAGAAACUAUAUCAUAGGUAAUGUAAUUUAUCUUUGUAUUGCAUUUUUACCCGCCUCUUUUAUACAUCUAUGUACUGUAUUUCUCCUAUUGAAAAUGAUUAUCCGUUCUACCUUCUAUAUGGUGUUGGCACUUAAAAUAUGUCAUCUAUAUUGUAUAAUCAAGAAAGAAUAUGUAAUAAGAACCAUAUCAUAUGUAAUGUUAUUCAUCAUUUUUAUAUAGUAUUGCCAGCCUUAUCUAUACAUUUACGUACUUUUUUGCUCGUGUAUUGAUGUCAAACAUAAAUUGAAUUGAAAUAAAAGGUUUUUUGACUUGA